UGGGGAAUAUUGGACAAUGGGGGAAACCCUGAUCCAGUAAUGCCGCGUGAGUGAAGAAGGCCUUAGGGUUGUAAAGCUCUUUCGCCCGCGAAGAUAAUGACGGUAGCGGGAGAAGAAGCCCCGGCUAACUCCGUGCCAGCAGCCGCGGUAAUACGGAGGGGGCUAGCGUUGUUCGGAAUUACUGGGCGUAAAGCGUACGUAGGCGGAUGCGCAAGUUGGGGGUGAAAUCCCGGGGCUUAACCUCGGAAUUGCACUCAAAACUGCACGUCUUGAGACCGAGAGAGGUAAGGGGAAUUCCUAGUGUAGAGGUGAAAUUCGUAGAUAUUAGGAAGAACACCUGUGGCGAAGGCGCCUUACUGGCUCGGUACUGACGCUGAGGUACGAAAGCGUGGGGAGCAAACA
rnacentral:rRNA from 1 species